AUCAACUAACCCUCCUCUAACUCUCUCUCUCUCUCACAGCAUCUCCUCUAACUCUCUCUCUCACGGCCGAAGAAGAAAAGAAAGAAGAAAGCAAUCUCUAACUCUCUCUCUCUCUCGCAAGAGGCUUCGACCCGUUCGACACAGCUUUUUUUCAAUGUCAGUUUUCAUUCGAUAUCUGAUCUUGGUAUGAUAUCACUGGAGGUCCUUCAAAAGGAAGCUUAUAUGGAUUUGGAUGUAGCUCCUCAUCUACAAGCUCAAAGUUCAAUCAGUUCUACUCUUAAAGAAUCUGACCAGAAAAUUAAUGAGUUAACAAAAGUUGUGGAGGACAUGCGCUCUAAUGCUACAAAAAUGGAAGAAGAAUUUUCAAGACGAGAAGAAGAAAAUAGAAAAUUGUUUGAAAUUGCUCUUGAAGAAGCUCGAAAGAGGGAGGAAGAGGCUCGGAAGAGGGAAGCAGACCUACAAGAAUUAAUUCGAAAAUUACUUCAAGAUGUGGAAUACACAAACAAUCAAUUUGCUGAUGGGUCUGGACACUAGGAGCAACAAUAUUCCAGGAAAGAUGAUUAGUUUAUUUUUUUUGUUGGUUGUUAAUGACUUAGUUUAUAUUAGUGUUGUUGUAUUAUGAGUA